rnacentral:rRNA from 1 species
GCACGAAAGCGUGGGGAUCAAACAGGAUUAGAUACCCUGGUAGUCCACGCAGUAAACGAUGAUCACUAGCUGUUUGCGAUACACUGUAAGCGGCACAGCGAAAGCGUUAAGUGAUCCACCUGGGGAGUACGCCGGCAACGGUGAAACUCAAAGGAAUUGACGGGGGCCCGCACAAGCGGAGGAACAUGUGGUUUAAUUCGAUGAUACGCGAGGAACCUUACCCGGGUUUGAACGCAUUCGGACCGAGGUGGAAACACCUUUUCUAGCAAUAGCCGUUUGCGAGGUGCUGCAUGGUUGUCGUCAGCUCGUGCCGUGAGGUGUCGGCUUAAGUGCCAUAACGAGCGCAACCCUUGCCACUAGUUACUAACAGGUGAUGCUGAGGACUCUGGUGGGACUGCCAGCGUAAGCUGCGAGGAAGGCGGGGAUGACGUCAAAUCAGCACGGCCCUUACAUCCGGGGCGACACACGUGUUACAAUGGCGUGGACAAAGGGAGGCCACCUGGCGACAGGGAGCGAAUCCCCAAACCACGUCUCAGUUCGGAUCGGAGUCUGCAACCCGACUCCGUGAAGCUGGAUUCGCUAGUAAUCGCGCAUCAGCCAUGGCGCGGUGAAUACGUUCCCGGGCCUUGUACACACCGCCCGUCAAGCCAUGGGAGCCGGGGGUACCUGAAGUCCGUAACCGCGAGGAUCGGCCUAGGGUAAAACUGGUGACUGGGGCUAAGUCGUAACAAGGUAGCCGUACCGGAAGGUGCGGCUG